rnacentral:sRNA from 1 species
UGUUCAUCACCACUGCCAUUAAUACUGC